UCAACCCAAGGGUAUGCAAAUUCACCCUGUAGACAAAAGUGAAUAUCUGUUAUUAAUAUUUUCAGAUUCAAAUGAAAAAGAAGGCAUGAAAUUAGCCAUAUUCAGUUGUAUAUAUACACCUCUUUGCAGUUAAAGAUUUCAAUGACUGAUUCUUUUAGUGCCUGUACAUAGGAAGCUAUAUAAAUAAUUUCUGAUAGUCAAAAGGUAAAGUCAGUUCUUGUAGAAUAUUACCACUUGUUUACUCGGAAGCUUGGAACCAUUUAAUAGAACUAAUUUAACAUGAAAUGAGAAAAAUAUAGCAUGAUGGAUAUGAGUUCAGGAAGUCAGCAACAAUCAUAAGAAUCUAAGACUAAAUAAUAUUUAUAUAUAUGCAUAAAAUAAUAAGUUUUGAGUGCAAGCAACUACAUUAUAAUCAUCAUAAAAUGAGUUACAAACAUAAAGAUUAAAUUUGAAAUCUAAAUUAAGCUAAUAAAUUUAAAUCCACGCCUUAUCACUAAACUAGUGUAAUGAGCGACAUACCAAUGUCGUGUGGUUGAAUUGCUUAUUGGUAGUGUAUAAAGGGCAAUGAUUUGCUUCAAUUUAACAUAUCAAUAUUUUAUAUAAAUAUAAAUUAAUUUAAACACACAAGAUAUAUGAAUAUGAAAUAAAUACUCAAAUCUACUCUCUUUUUGUGUGUGUUUUUGCUAAAUUUAAAAAACAUUAAUUCACAAGACAACUUUUUUUUUUAGGUACAAUAGCACAGGAUAAUUUUAGAUGAUUCUUUAAAGCGCAUUCAUUUAUAUAAAAGACCAUAAAUAUAUUAAUAAAAAGGCUGUAGAACAACGCAUGAGCCAAAAACCGAUAGCCAGGUUAGACAAACCCAUUAAGAAAAGUAACAUUAAAUCAAAGCAAAGUAUACAGAGCCUAAGGAAAAAGAUAAGAUGAAGCAUUCACUACUUACUUCACCUCUGUUUACCAAAAUUUUAUUUUUAUAAAAAGAUAAAAAUCAUGGAUUCAUUCGGUUUAAAAUAUACAUUCCAUCAUUAGUAAACAUCAAAUGAAUCCCUUUCGAGCGAGUUUGGUCAGAUCUAUUUACCAAAUCCACAGUUUCCUUCAAUACAGCCUCCAAGACUUCAUUUUUAUCCCCCAUUUUCUCUUGCUCUUAACUCAAGACUCCCAAAAAGGUGAACUUUACCUUGCUGCAAAAAAUAAGGAAAAGAAAAGAAGACAUUACACAACUACCAAGAAAAGAAAAAAGAAAAAGAAACGUUGAAAGAAAAAAAAUGAUACCCAGUUUUCAAAAGGCUUGAUCUUGAAUUUAGAUUACUGUUGAGGAACCAAAAUGAGAACAGCCCAACAACUCCAAAACAACAACAAACCAGGAAAAAAGAAAAAGACCAAACAGAGAAGAAGAAGAAGACGAACCGCUUAAAGAAGUAGAGACGAGCGACGGCAGAAGGGACGGUCUACGACAAUGCAGCAGAUUUGGGAAAGGUUUGGGUCGUGGAGCGCAGCAGACUAGGGUUCUUGAUUUGGG
rnacentral:lncRNA from 1 species